rnacentral:rRNA from 1 species
AUGGCCGGCGGGUCGCCGUGCGCGUCGUGCAAGCUGCUCCGGCGGCGGUGCACCAAGGACUGCAUCUUCGCGCCCUUCUUCCCCGCCGACGACCCCCACAAGUUCGCCAUCGUCCACAAGGUCUUCGGCGCCAGCAACGUCAGCAAGAUGCUCCUGGAGCUGCCGGUGCAACAGCGCGGGGACGCGGUGAGCAGCCUGGUGUACGAGGCGAACGCGCGGGUACGGGACCCGGUGUACGGCUGCGUGGGGGCCAUCUCCUUCCUGCAGAACCAGGUGUCGCAGCUGCAGAUGCAGCUCGCUGUCGCGCAGGCCGAGAUCCUGUGCAUCCAGAUGCAGCAGCGAGACGGCUGCCGGUCCCAGGACGACGCAGGACGAAGCGACGGCCACAGCCUGGCGGCCAUGCAGCAGAUGGUCGUCGACGACACCGCGGCGGCAGAGGCUUUCCUGAUGCAGAACGGCGGCGGCGGCUUCCCGCCGCAGCUGAUGAGCAGCUACGGCGGCGCGCCGGCCUCCAACGUGCAUCACUACGGGCAGCAGGACCACCUCAAGAGGGAGUCCCUCUGGACGUAG